CGUUCAGUAAUGUUAAAAUGUGUAUUGCGAAUAGUUUUUUGAUAGUUUGGCAUUUAAAGUUUUACAUUUAUUAAUUUGUCAAAUUUAACUUCUCUUUUCAUAUCAUAUUAAAAAUGAUUCAGUGAUGUUUUGAAUCAUUAGACAGCUUUGUGAUAUUUAUCAACAGAUAAUUAUGCUGUGAUGAUAUUUAUUCAAGAGUAAUCAAAGCAGAGGACAUUGGAGUUGGAGAUAUCCUUUUUCUGAUGGAGAAAUGAUCACAUUUAUAUAACAUUUACUGGAGUGAUACAAAUAUUGGAUUAUCAUUUAGAUUAAGUUGAAUGGAGAAACAAAAUUUCAUUUAUUACCCAAUAGUCAAGGAGUUGAUGAAGAUGUUGGACUUUAUUUAAAUAUCAAGCAAAAUAAAUGGUGAAAAAAAUUUAUCUCAAAUCCUGUGAGCAAUGGAGUUAUUUUAGCGAAAAUAAAAAGUGAACAAUUAUUAAAUGAAAAUGUGAAGUUGUUGUAAGCGAUGGUCGUCAUGUCUUUCAAAAAUACAUUACUUGUUUCACUCAUAUCCUCUAUCUUCCUGGACAAUUUGCCGAGCACAAAAGAAUCCUUGCUCGAGAGAGAGCAAAAUGGAACAUACACAAGUAUAACAAUUGAGAGAACUAUGGAAGUAAUGGACCGAAUACACAUGGGUAUGUACAACCAUACUGCACGAAAAGAAUGAGAAAAUAAUCGCUAGAGGUAAAGAUGAGUCAGCAGAGUUACUUUUUAAACAAAAAAAAAAAAAUUUUCAUUUAUUCCGAAAAUAAAGAUGUAGAGUAAGCUGUCAUAAAUGGCAAUUGAUCCAUAUACGCUUAACGUAUAAUAAGUAAUAAGUCAGACUUAUUUAAACUCAUAUACAGUACAUGUGCAUAUAUGAUAUGUGAAAAGUGGAAUUUGUUUUCAUGGAAGAGAGAAAUGAACGUUAAUCGCCUGCCACUGGCAGAAUAGGUAGCGUGAACAUAUAAACACACGCACAUCCCUUGGGUGUUGUAAUAUCAUUUUCAUCAAGUUCACUAGCAAAUGAGAAAAUCGUCGGGGUUGUUAAACUGUAGGGAAAGAUUUUGUAUAUUAUGAUAUCUAAUUUGUCAUGAUCUUUUGUGAAAAAGCAUAUCAAUUUGCCCUACUCUAGUAAAUUUCAUAAAUAUUCACAUCAAUAUAUAUAUGUAUAUUUAAUAUUCCCAUUUGUUGGGAAACUACAUUCGAUUAUAUUUUAUGAUUAUGUGAUAUCAUAAUUUAUUUAAAAGACAUCCAAAAGAUCACUCCCUUUUGGCCUACACCUAGCACAAUAGCUGGGAUAGAGUAAGAGGUUGUUGCACUAUUAUUUAGAAUGAUUAUAAAUUAUCCUUCAAUUUGAAAAAAAUUUAUAAUGGGAUAAUAUCAAUAGGACUAUCUAUAAAUUAACAGCAGAAUUGAAAAGCUCAUUAGAAUUUUUAUUAAUUAAAUAAUCAAAUUAAAAUUUUGAAGUGAUACAAAAAUUUAUUAAUAACAUGAGAUUGCACUUCUCUUCAA